AAAUUAAAACCGUGUUCGUGUGUUUUAAUUUCCUGCGUCGCAAAAGAAUCUGAUUGGUUGAUUCAAGGUCAACUAGGUACAAUUAUCACGGCUCGAGGAACUCUAUAAAGCUGAGUCGAAAAACCGACGCUUCACUUUAGUUGGAGUGCUUUUACGAAACGGUUUUGCUUUUUUUCGAACAGUUUAAUUUCGGUGAAAAGUUUUAAGUGGAAUUAGUUCUGGUGAUUGUGAUACUCUUUCUGGAAAAGCACAAUCAAAGCUUUGAAGAAUAGUUCCCCCCAGAACAAGCAAAGGUUAUGCGAACCCUUUGCACGUGUCAGGUUGCCCAUUAACGUGGGUGCAAGUCUCGGGGCAGAAAAGCCGUACAUUUCGUCGUUCGACGCUGGGAAAGCUUCGUUGGUCAAACUGGUGGAUGAAAACCACGACGGGGUCGUGACGAACCGUUUCAACCGCCUUAGUCAACUCCAACGACUCGGAGACGCAUCUACUCCGCCCACCCAGUUGACCCCACACGUCCUUUUCGAAGCAAUCCCAGAGCUUGGAGGAAGUUCCGAGCUUUCGAGCACGCCAAAAGCUCGCCGGCUGCCCAGCCGAUUCUAACCUCGCUUGCCCGACCGAAGGAAGUGCGAGGAACGAGACGAAAGCCUGACAGCAGCAGUACCAUCCAUCU